rnacentral:rRNA from 1 species
CCGGUAACCACCAAGAAAAAAGUUCCCGGGCUAACUACGUGCCAGCAGCCGCGGUUAAUACGUAGGGAGCAGCGUGUUCGGAAUUUAUUGGGCGUAAAGAGCGCGUAGGUGGUUUGAUAAGUCCCGGUGUGAAAGCCCCACAGCUUAACUGUGGAACUGCAUCGGAAACUGCCAGACUAGAGUGCGGGAGAGGAGAGUGGAAUUCCCAGUGUAGAGGUGAAAUUCGUAGAUACUGGGAGGAACACCGGUGGCGAAGGCGGCUCUCUGGACCGCAACUGACGCUGAGGCGCGAAAGCUAGGGGAGCAAACGGGAUUAGAUACCCCGGUAGUCCUAGCCGUAAACGAUGGGCACUAGGUGUAGGGGGUAUUGACCCCUUCUGUGCCGCAGCUAACGCAUUAAGUGCCCCGCCUGGGGAGUACGGUCGCAAGACUAAAACUCAAAGGAAUUGACGGGGGCCCGCACAAGCGGUGGAGCAUGUGGUUUAAUUCGACGCAACGCGAAGAACCUUACCUGGGUUUGACAUCCCUUGACCGCAGCAGAGAUGCUGCUUUCCUUCGGGACAAGGUGACAGGUGCUGCAUGGCUGUCGUCAGCUCGUGUCGUGAGAUGUUGGGUUAAGUCCCGCAACGAGCGCAACCCAUGCCCUUAGUUGCCAGCGAGUAAUGUCGGGAACUCUAAGGGAACUGCCGGUGACAAACCGGAGGAAGGUGUGGAUGACGUCAAGUCCUCAUGGCCCUUAUGCCCAGGGCUACACACGUGCUACAAUGGUCGGUACAGAGGGUCGCGAGUCCGUGAGGAGGAGCUAAUCCCACAAAGCCGGCCUCAGUUCAGAUUGCAGGCUGCAACCCGCCUGCAUGAAGGUGGAAUCGCUAGUAAUCCCGGAUCAGCAUGCCGGGGUGAAUACGUUCCCGGGCCUUGUACACACCGCCCGUCACACCACGAAAGCCAGUUGUACCAGAAGUCGCUGGGCCAACCCGCAAGGGAGGCAGGUGCCGAAGGUAUGGCCGGUGAUUGGGGUGAAGUCGUAACAAGGUAACC